ACCUGGUGGCAAGUAUGGCUGCUCUGUCAUAUGCAUGUCAGCAGGUGGCAGAAUGGAAACAGGUAAGUGUAUAGUCAACGUUCUGACCUCUGACCUUUGAACAUCUGAAUGAUCAGUAACCUAAAAUU